AUACGUAGGGGGCGAGCGUUGUCCGGAAUGAUUGGGCGUAAAGGGCGCGUAGGCGGCGCGGUAAGUCUGGAGUGAAAGUCCUGCUUUCAAGGUGGGAAUUGCUUUGGAUACUGCCGCGCUUGAGUGCAGGAGAGGUUAUCGGAAUUCCGGUGUAGCGGUGAAAUGCGUAGAGAUCGGGAGGAACACCAGUGGCGAAGGCGGGUAACUGGACUGCAACUGACGCUGAGGCGCGAAAGUGUGGGGAGCAAACAGGAUUAGAUACCCUGGUAGUCCACACUGUAAACGAUGAAUGCUAGGUGUAGGGGGUAUCGACCCCUUCUGUGCCGCAGUCAACACAAUAAGCAUUCCGCCUGGGGAGUACGGCCGCAAGGUUGAAACUCAAAGGAAUUGACGGGG
rnacentral:rRNA from 1 species